AUUGAACGCUGGCGGCAGGCUUAACACAUGCAAGUCGAACGAUGAUUAUCUAGCUUGCUAGAUAUGAUUAGUGGCGGACGGGUGAGUAACAUUUAGGAAUCUGCCUAGUAGUGGGGGAUAGCUCGGGGAAACUCGAAUUAAUACCGCAUACGACCUACGGGUGAAAGGGGGCGCAAGCUCUUGCUAUUAGAUGAGCCUAAAUCAGAUUAGCUAGUUGGUGGGGUAAAGGCCCACCAAGGCGACGAUCUGUAACUGGUCUGAGAGGAUGAUCAGUCACACCGGAACUGAGACACGGUCCGGACUCCUACGGGAGGCAGCAGUGGGGAAUAUUGGACAAUGGGGGCAACCCUGAUCCAGCCAUGCCGCGUGUGUGAAGAAGGCCUUUUGGUUGUAAAGCACUUUAAGCAGGGAGGAGAGGCUAAUGGUUAAUACCCAUUAGAUUAGACGUUACCUGCAGAAUAAGCACCGGCUAACUCUGUGCCAGCAGCCGCGGUAAUACAGAGGGUGCGAGCGUUAAUCGGAAUUACUGGGCGUAAAGCGAGUGUAGGUGGCUCAUUAAGUCACAUGUGAAAUCCCCGGGCUUAACCUGGGAACUGCAUGUGAUACUGGUGGUGCUAGAAUAUGUGAGAGGGAAGUAGAAUUCCAGGUGUAGCGGUGAAAUGCGUAGAGAUCUGGAGGAAUACCGAUGGCGAAGGCAGCUUCCUGGCAUAAUAUUGACACUGAGAUUCGAAAGCGUGGGUAGCAAACAGGAUUAGAUACCCUGGUAGUCCACGCCGUAAACGAUGUCUACUAGCCGUUGGGGUCCUUGAGACUUUAGUGGCGCAGUUAACGCGAUAAGUAGGCCGCCUGGGGAGUACGGCCGCAAGGUUAAAACUCAAAUGAAUUGACGGGGGCCCGCACAAGCGGUGGAGCAUGUGGUUUAAUUCGAUGCAACGCGAAGAACCUUACCUGGUCUUGACAUAGUGAGAAUCCUGCAGAGAUGCGGGAGUGCCUUCGGGAAUUCACAUACAGGUGCUGCAUGGCUGUCGUCAGCUCGUGUCGUGAGAUGUUGGGUUAAGUCCCGCAACGAGCGCAACCCUUUUCCUUAUUUGCCAGCGGGUUAAGCCGGGAACUUUAAGGAUACUGCCAGUGACAAACUGGAGGAAGGCGGGGACGACGUCAAGUCAUCAUGGCCCUUACGACCAGGGCUACACACGUGCUACAAUGGUAGGUACAGAGGGUUGCUACACAGCGAUGUGAUGCUAAUCUCAAAAAGCCUAUCGUAGUCCGGAUUGGAGUCUGCAACUCGACUCCAUGAAGUCGGAAUCGCUAGUAAUCGCAGAUCAGAAUGCUGCGGUGAAUACGUUCCCGGGCCU
rnacentral:rRNA from 1 species